AUUGAACGCUGGCGGCAGGCCUAACACAUGCAAGUCGAGCGGUAGCACAGAGAGCUUGCUCUCGGGUGACGAGCGGCGGACGGGUGAGUAAUGUCUGGGAAACUGCCUGAUGGAGGGGGAUAACUACUGGAAACGGUAGCUAAUACCGCAUAACGUCGCAAGACCAAAGUGGGGGACCUUCGGGCCUCAUGCCAUCAGAUGUGCCCAGAUGGGAUUAGCUAGUAGGUGGGGUAACGGCUCACCUAGGCGACGAUCCCUAGCUGGUCUGAGAGGAUGACCAGCAGCACUGGACCUGGGGCACGGUCCAGACUCCGACGCGAGUCAGGAGUGGGGAAGAUUGCACAAUGGGCGCAAGCCUGAGGCAGCCAUGCCGCGUGUGUGAAGAAGGCCUGCGGGUUGUAAAGCACUUUCAGCGGGGAGGAAGGCGGUGAGGUUAAUAACCUCAUCGAUUGACGUUACCCGCAGAAGAAGCACCGGCUAACUCCGUGCCAGCCGCCGCGGUAACAC
rnacentral:rRNA from 1 species